rnacentral:rRNA from 1 species
UUCGCAAUGCCCGAAAGGGUGACGAAGCGACGCCGCGUGUGGGAUGAAGGCCCUCGGGUUGUAAACCACUGUCGGGAGUUAAGAAUUGUAGGAAUACUAAUAGUAUUUCUACUUGACUAAGGCUCCGGAGGAAGCCACGGCUAACUCUGUGCCAGCAGCCGCGGUAAUACAGAGGCGGCAAGCGUUGUUCGGAAUUAUUGGGCGUAAAGAGCAUGUAGGCGGCUAUGUAAGUCGGUUGUGAAAGCCUUCCGCUUAACGGAAGAAUGGCGGUCGAAACUGCAUGGCUUGAGUGCGGGAGGGGAGAGUGGAACUUCUGGUGGAGCGGUGAAAUGCGUAGAUAUCAGAAGGAACGUCGGCGGCGAAAGCGACUCUCUAGACCGUAACUGACGCUGAGUGUGCGAAAGCUAGGGGAGCAAACGGGAUUAGAUACCCCGGUAGUCCUAGCCGUAAACGAUGGGCACUAAGUAGAGGGGUUUU